CCUACGGGAGGCAGCAGUGGGGAAUAUUGCACAAUGGGGGAAACCCUGAUGCAGCGACGCCGCGUGAGUGAAGAAGUAUUUCGGUACGUAAAGCUCUAUCAGCAGGGAAGAAAAUGACGGUACCUGACUAAGAAGCCCCGGCUAACUACGUGCCAGCAGCCGCGGUAAUACGUAGGGGGCAAGCGUUAUCCGGAUUUACUGGGUGUAAAGGGAGCGUAGACGGCAGCGCAAGUCUGGAGUGAAAUCCCAUGGCUUAACCAUGGAACUGCUGUGGAAACUGUGCAGCUAGAGUGCAGGAGAGGUAAGCGGAAUUCCUAGUGUAGCGGUGAAAUGCGUAGAUAUUAGGAGGAACACCAGUGGCGAAGGCGGCUUACUGGACUGUAACUGACGUUGAGGCUCGAAAGCGUGGGGAGCAAACAGGAUUAGAUACCCCAGUAGUC
rnacentral:rRNA from 1 species